AAAUUCCACCAUCUCCCAAAAAGAGAUGUCUUAAAGAAAAAAUUAUCAAUCAUGCAAAGGUAUCUUUGCGGGAUGAAAUAUAUGACGAGAUUGUCAGGCAUUCGAAUCAUCCUUGAUCAGCAAAAAGACUAUAUACUUUUGGGAAUGUGUUAUUUUGGGAUUUGUACUAUUUGUUUAGUCGAUGCAGAUUGUGACCCGGAUCUCACAAAUAUUUUGAUUCCAAACAAUGAUGAUAUUAUGGCUUCAGUUCGAUUGACUCUUAGCAAAUUAGUAUUUGCAAUUUGUGAGGGUCAUCCUCUCUACAUAAGAAAUCGGUGA
rnacentral:rRNA from 1 species